rnacentral:rRNA from 1 species
GGGGAUAUUGCACAAUGGGGGAAACCCUGAUGCAGCGACGCCGCGUGAGGGAAGAAGGUUUUCGGAUUGUAAACCUCUGUCUUCAGUGACGAAAAUGACGGUAACUGAGGAGGAAGCCACGGCUAACUACGUGCCAGCAGCCGCGGUAAUACGUAGGUGGCAAGCGUUGUCCGGAAUUACUAGGUGUAAAGGGAGCGCAGGCGGGGGAUCAAGUCAGCUGUGAAAACUACGGGCUUAACUUGUAGACUGCAGUUGAAACUGAUUUUCUUGAGUGAAGUAGAGGUUGGCGGAAUUCCGAGUGUAGCGGUGAAAUGCGUAGAUAUUCGGAGGAACACCGGUGGCGAAGGCGGCCAACUGGGCUUUAACUGACGCUGAGGCUCGAAAGUGUGGGGAGCAAACAGGAUUAGAUACCCUGGUAGU